CCGCCCGUCACAUCACGAAAGUGGGCCGUACUAGAAGCAGGUGUGCUAACCGCAAGGAGGCAGCCUUUCAAGGUACAGCUACAUGAUUGGGGUG
rnacentral:rRNA from 1 species